UAACGCGUGAGGAACCUGCCUCAAAGAGGGGGACAACAGUUGGAAACGACUGCUAAUACCGCAUAAGCCCACGGUGCCGCAUGGCACAGAGGGAAAAGGAGCAAUCCGCUUUGAGAUGGCCUCGCGUCCGAUUAGCUAGUUGGUGAGGUAACGGCCCACCAAGGCGACGAUCGGUAGCCGGACUGAGAGGUUGAACGGCCACAUUGGGACUGAGACACGGCCCAGACUCCUACGGGAGGCAGCAGUGGGGAAUAUUGCACAAUGGGGGAAACCCUGAUGCAGCGACGCCGCGUGGAGGAAGAAGGUCUUCGGAUUGUAAACUCCUGUUGUUGAGGAAGAUAAUGACGGUACUCAACAAGGAAGUGACGGCUAACUACGUGCCAGCAGCCGCGGUAAAACGUAGGUCACAAGCGUUGUCCGGAAUUACUGGGUGUAAAGGGAGCGCAGGCGGGAAGACAAGUUGGAAGUGAAAUCCAUGGGCUCAACCCAUGAACUGCUUUCAAAACUGUUUUUCUUGAGUAGUGCAGAGGUAGGCGGAAUUCCCGGUGUAGCGGUGGAAUGCGUAGAUAUCGGGAGGAACACCAGUGGCGAAGGCGGCCUACUGGGCACCAACUGACGCUGAGGCUCGAAAGUGUGGGUAGCAAACAGGAUUAGAUACCCUGGUAGUCCACACUGUAAACGAUGAUUACUAGGUGU
rnacentral:rRNA from 1 species